rnacentral:rRNA from 1 species
GACAGAGGGUGCAAACGUUGUUCGGAAUUACUGGGCGUAAAGCGCGUGUAGGCUGCUUGGAAAGUCGGGUGUGAAAGCCCUGAGCUCAACUCAGGAAGUGCACUCGAAACUUCCGAGCUCGAGUCCUGGAGAGGGUGGCGGAAUUCUCGGUGUAGAGGUGAAAUUCGUAGAUAUCGAGAGGAACACCGGUGGCGAAGGCGGCUCUCUGGACAGGUACUGACGCUGAGACGCGAAAGCGUGGGUAGCAAACAGG